AUGGCCUCGCCGCCGGCGAAGAAGAAACCCCCAACCACCAUAAGCGACCUCGACCAAGACACCCUGCGCGAGAUUCUUCUCCGCCUUCUCUCUCUCCCGAGCCUCGUCCGCGCCGCCCUCAGCUGCCGUGCCUUCCUCGACGCCGUCCGUUCAUCCUCAGCUUUCCGCCGCCGCUUCCGCGCGCUCCACCCUCCCCCAAUCCUAGGUCUCUUCCUCAGCAUAGAACACGCCGUCAGCCCUGCCUUCGUGCCUCUCCGCCGUCUUCCCGACCCAGACCUCGCCGCAGCCGUCCGCGGCGCCGAUUUCUUCCUCACCCGCCUCCCAGUCCCCGAAGACGACAAGGAAGAUUGUGAGGAUGCCGUCUUCCAGUGGUCAAUCUGCGACUGCCGCGGCGGAUUCGUUCUUCUUGGCAACUGA
rnacentral:rRNA from 1 species